rnacentral:misc_RNA from 1 species
UCUCCGUUGGUGAACCAGCGGAGGGAUCAUUACCGAGUAUACAACUCCCAAACCCCAUGUGAACCUUACCAAACGUUGCUUCGGCGGGAUGCCCCGGGCGCGGGCCGCAAGGCCUCAGCCCCGGAACCAGGCGCCCGCCGGAGGCCCAAACCAAACUCUUGUUUUUGUAGAAUCUUCUGAGUGGCCUUUUAGGCAAAAAACGAAUCAAAACUUUCAACAACGGAUCUCUUGGUUCUG